rnacentral:rRNA from 1 species
AAAACAACUCUCAGCAACGGAUAUCUUGGCUCUUGCAACGAUGAAGAACGC